GAUGAACGCUGGCGGCGUGCCUAAUACAUGCAAGUCGAGCGAAUGGAUUAAGAGCUUGCUCUUAUGAAGUUAGCGGCGGACGGGUGAGUAACACGUGGGUAACCUGCCCAUAAGACUGGGAUAACUCCGGGAAACCGGGGCUAAUACCGGAUAACAUUUUGAACCGAAUGGUUCGAAAUUGAAAGGCGGCUUCGUCUGUCACUUAUGGAUGGACCCGCGUCGCAUUAGCUAGUUGGUGAGAUAACGGCUCACCAAGGCAACGAUGCGUAGCCGACCUGAGAGGGUGAUCGGCCACACUGGGACUGAGACACGGCCCAGACUCCUACGGGAGGCAGCAGUAGGGAAUCUUCCGCAAUGGACGAAAGUCUGACGGAGCAACGCCGCGUGAGUGAUGAAGGCUUUCGGGUCGUAAAACUCUGUUGUUAGGGAAGAACAAGUGCUAGUUGAAUAAGCUGGCACCUUGACGGUACCUAACCAGAAAGCCACGGCUAACUACGUGCCAGCCGCCGCGGUUAA
rnacentral:rRNA from 1 species